UAGGGAAUCUUCGGCAAUGGACGAAAGUCUGACCGAGCAACGCCGCGUGAGUGAAGAAGGUUUUCGGAUCGUAAAACUCUGUUGUUAGAGAAGAACAAGGACGUUAGUAACUGAACGUCCCCUGACGGUAUCUAACCAGAAAGCCACGGCUAACUACGUGCCAGCAGCCGCGGUAAUACGUAGGUGGCAAGCGUUGUCCGGAUUUAUUGGGCGUAAAGCGAGCGCAGGCGGUUUCUUAAGUCUGAUGUGAAAGCCCCCGGCUCAACCGGGGAGGGUCAUUGGAAACUGGGAGACUUUAGUGCAGAAGAGGAGAGUGGAAUUCCAUGUGUAGUGGUGCUAUGCGUAGAUAUAUGGAGGAACACCAGCGGCGAAGGCGGCUCUCUGGUCUGUAACUGACGCUGAGGCUCGAAAGCGUGGGGAGCAAACAGG
rnacentral:rRNA from 1 species